rnacentral:misc_RNA from 1 species
GGUGAUACAUAAUCUUGAUCUUGAUUGAGCUCAUCAUCUACAAAAAUCUAUUGACAUAUUUUUUCAAUAUUUGAUCAACAAGAAUCCUAUAACCUUUCUCAGUUGGAUGAAAACUAUCCCAAAAUAAAUAUUUUGUAUCAUCUUCACAUGUUCCGCUGAAUUUAUUACAUAAUAUUGUCACCUCAAUAUUUCCUGUGCCACAACACCCUUUCUCUACUUCUUCUAAUCCAUAUUUUUGAGGGUUGACAAUGAUAUCAAGAAAAGGAUUAUAGAUAUCUAUCAACACAAGUUUGGAUUGGGCCAACUUUUUUGAUAGUGAAUCAAUGGCAAUUGAGAAUUUUGUGUUAGCCAAUUGGGCUGCUUCAUUGUAUUCCUUGGCACAUACUCUAUUUGGCCCACCAGCUAAUGUUCUUUGUGAUGGCAAACAUCCUAUGGGAGGAAUUCCAAAUAUCCCAAUUUUUCUUGCUCCCAAGUUGUACAAUUCUUGGAGAAAUUCAGUAGCUUUGGACACCAUGAGAUCAGUAUAUGAGUCGAUAUUCUGCUUUAAUCGAACUUCAAGAGUGAAAUAUGUAUUUGCAAGAUCAUCACUUCCAGCAACCACUAAAAAUAGGCUAUUUUUUAAAAUAUAGUUGGCUUCUUCUUCUCCAACUAAUCCUUCUAGCUUCCCAAUAUACUCUUUGAAUUGAUUUAAUUGUGUUGAUAGAGGUAUAGCUAACGCCAGAGUAGAUGUUCGAGGAUCAUAUCCACAACCACCAGAUGCAAAGCUUACUCCAGUCUUGAGAUCUUCAUUUCUCAAAUUUGAAUCUAGGUAAGCUGGUAUAUACUCUUUUAUCCCCAAUUCUUCAACUAUCAAGUCCGGUGGCGUCUUGCCGUUACAGAAUCUUCCGGUUGGAAUUCCACCAUUGAAGUCUUUACCAUAAGGUGGAAAAUUACACUUUGCUAUAGUUGGAAUAUAAUUAUUAUUUCCUUGAUCAACAAUUGAAUCUCCAAAGGCAAAUACUGCUUUUACCACUACGUUAUUUGGUAAUUGCACUUUCCCUUCACAUGACCUUAUAGUUGACAUUAAUACAAAACAAAUAAAAUAGUUUAAUAGAACCAUGAUCUUAUACACCAUUAGUAUUUUUUGUUGCAUAAAUAGGAAAAAAA